GUGACGUCCUCAGGGGGGAGGGCAAAUGGGACAGUCGCCCUCUAUGGCAUUUUUUAUCUUCAAAAUUAUGUAAUUUUUUGAGACUGUUUUGAUAAGAAAUAGUGUCAUAUUGUCGUUGUAAAUUGAGUUGCCUAUACCACGGAAAUUAAUGAAGUGAUGAUCUACAAAGCAAAACCAAUGAAUUUUAUUACAUUUAAACGCCAAAUGUCAUAAGUGUGCUUUGCUCGUAUGUCAGUAAUAGCUAAACUCAGACAUUUUAAUAAAAUAAGUUUGAUUCUUUGCGUAUUACAAUUACAUAAUAUUCUGUAAAUAUUAUGAUAAGAAUUUAUACCAGAACACAGAUAUUAAGAUUUCGAGACAAUAUGGUCCCGAGUCAUAUGGAUCUAUUUAUUUUUGGUGGUAUUUUCAACAUUUCGUAUUUAUUCAUAUUACUUAUAUUUUAUAUCAUAGGUAAGUAUAAUUGAUGUAAAAUUACCCCUACCUACCUGUUAUGUUGGACAUAAUCAUUAAGUAAAGCUAAAAAAGUGGACGGAUAUACUUCGCACGUGGGUGACGCCAGUGUUGGUGGGAAGUUUGAAAGGUGGGCUACCGACGGGAAUUUAAUGUACGUCUGUAAACAACGAUAAACCAUUGCUAACGAAAAAACGAUUUUGAACCGAGUUCAAUUGAAAAUUUUUUUAUUGUCAUAUUAUGGUUAAACGAUUAAAACAAUGUACGUCACCACGACAAC